rnacentral:rRNA from 1 species
GUGGGGAAUUUUGGACAAUGGGCGCAAGCCUGAUCCAGUAAUGCCGCGUGCAGGAAGAAGGCCUUCGGGUUGUAAACUGCUUUUGUACGGAACGAAACGGUCCGGGUUAAUACCCUGGGCUAAUGACGGUACCGUAAGAAUAAGCACCGGCUAACUACGUGCCAGCAGCCGCGGUAAUACGUAGGGUGCAAGCGUUAAUCGGAAUUACUGGGCGUAAAGCGUGCGCAGGCGGUUUUGUAAGACAGGCGUGAAAUCCCCGGGCUCAACCUGGGAAUUGCGCUUGUGACUACAAGGUUGGAGUGCGGCAGAGGGGGAUGGAAUUCCGCGUGUAGCAGUGAAAUGCGUAGAUAUGCGGAGGAACACCGAUGGCGAAGGCAAUCCCCUGGGCCUGCACUGACGCUCAUGCACGAAAGCGUGGGGAGCAAACAGGAUUAGAUACCCCAGUAGUCC